UCCCUGGUGGCUCAGACGGUAAAAGCAUCUGCCUACAAUGCGGGAGACCUGGGUUCGAUCCCUGGGUCGGGAA
rnacentral:tRNA from 1 species